GGCCGCGGUAUUUUGACCGUGCAAAGGUAGCGUAAUCACCUGUCUUUUAAAUAAAGACCUGUAUGAAUGGCAAGACGAGGGUUUUACUGUCUCCUCCCCCCAGUCAAUGAAAUUGAUCUACCCGUGCAGAAGCGGGUAUAAAAACAUAAGACGAGAAGACCCUAUGGAGCUUUAGGCAUAUAUCAAAUAUGUAAAAAACCAAAUUUUUCCAAAUAGGCCUAAAAAAUGAGAAAAACAAGUAUUAAUGAUUAAGUGCCUUCGGUUGGGGCGACCACGGGGAAAAAUAAAACCCCCACAUGGAAUGGGAAAAAUAACCCUAAGCCAAGAAAAACACUUCUAAGCAACAAAAUUUUUGACCAAUAAACGACCCAGGGACACCACCCCUGAGCAAUGAACCAAGUUACCCUAGGGAUAACAGCGCAAUCCUUUCCCAGAGCCCAUAUCAACGAAAGGGUUUACGACCUCGAUGUUGGAUCAGGGCAUCCUAACGGUGCAGCCGCUGUUAAGGG
rnacentral:rRNA from 1 species